rnacentral:rRNA from 1 species
UACGGGGGGGGCAAGCGUUGUUCGGAAUUACUGGGCGUAAAGGGCUCGUAGGCGGCCAACUAAGUCAGACGUGAAAUCCCUCGGCUUAACCGGGGAACUGCGUCUGAUACUGGAUGGCUUGAGUUUGGGAGAGGGAUGCGGAAUUCCAGGUGUAGCGGUGAAAUGCGUAGAUAUCUGGAGGAACACCGGUGGCGAAGGCGGCAUCCUGGACCAACACUGACGCUGAGGCGCGAAAGCUAGGGGAGCAAACAGG